rnacentral:rRNA from 1 species
GACGAACGCUGGCGGCGUGCUUAACACAUGCAAGUCGAACGGAAAGGCCCUGCUUUUGUGGGGUGCUCGAGUGGCGAACGGGUGAGUAACACGUGAGUAACCUGCCCUUGACUUUGGGAUAACUUCAGGAAACUGGGGCUAAUACCGGAUAGGAGCCCCUGCUGCAUGGUGGGGGUUGGAAAGUUUCGGCGGUUGGGGAUGGACUCGCGGCUUAUCAGCUUGUUGGUGGGGUAGUGGCUUACCAAGGCUUUGACGGGUAGCCGGCCUGAGAGGGUGACCGGCCACAUUGGGACUGAGAUACGGACCAGACUCCUACGGGAGGCAGCAGUGGGGAAUAUGACACAAUGGGCGGAAGCCUGAUGCAGCAGCGCCGCGUGCGGGAUGACGGCCUUCGGGUUGUAAACCGCUUUCGCCUGUGACGAAGCGUGAGUGACGGUAAUGGGUAAAGAAGCACCGGCUAACUACGUG